AUGACAAAUCUUUAUGAGAUACAACAUAAGUGGGCAAAGCCGUAUUUCAAAAGUCUCUUCUGCGCCAAAAUGACGAGCACACAGCGUAGCGAGAGUGCAAACAAUAUGUUGAAGAUUUACAUGCCGCCAGCAAAGCCCAAUGCAUGUGUUCGUGCGACAAUACAUGAGGCUUCAAUUCGACCGAGAAUCGGAUGA
rnacentral:rRNA from 1 species